rnacentral:misc_RNA from 1 species
GAUGAAGAACGCAGCGAAAUGCGAUAAGUAAUGUGAAUUGCAGAAUUCAGUGAAUCAUCGAAUCUUCGAACGCACAUUGCGCCCCCUGGUAUUCCGGGGGGCAUGCCUGUCCGAGCGUCAUUACAACCCUCAAGCUCAGCUUGGUGUUGGGCCCCGCCGCCCCGGCGGGCCCUAAAGUCAGUGGCGGUGCCGUCCGGCUCCGAGCGUAGUAAUUCUUCUCGCUCUGGAGGUCCGGUCGUGUGCUCGCCAGCAACCCCCAAUUUUUUUCAGGUUGACCUCGGAUCAGGUAGGGAUACCCGCUGAACUUAAGCAUAUCAAUAAGCGGAGGA